GUCCGAACUCACGUGUAAAACAUUGGGAUGGAUAAGCCAUUGGUAUCCCUAGUUAAGCGUGAAGAGGCCGCUUUGCGUAUCAAAUAGGAGCCGCGGGGGCGAGGUUGAAUUGUUUAGCUCACUUCUCGAUUGUCGGCUGCGGAUUCCCUUUGCACAAAGAGGAUGUAGAUGUGGUGUGCAUGGAGGUGUAAUUUUAGCGUUGUGCUGUUUGAAGAAUGUUAAGAAGGCAUCUAUUUUGUUUCCACGAUGAGCCAGAAGAGCCUUGUUUUCUCUGCUCCCCGUAAUAUGGUUUCAAGCAGGGAUGUUGUAUAUGGUUUAGAGCACUAGCAGAGGACCAUGGCAUCGGUUACAAUGGAGGAUGUUCCAUUGGAAGCUGAAUCGUCCGUUUCUUCUUCUUUUUUCCCAUGAGGUGAAAUCUUUGAUUUCCCAUUAAUGGAAUGCUCUCUGCGUUGAAAAGAGAAAAGAAAUUUUUUUCACUACAGCAUGCAAGUUCCUAGAAAUUUCUUGUUUCCUUGGGCAAUACAUACAUCUUGAUAUGAUUAAGCUGGAUUCUUAUACCAGUUUGUUUGUGAACUGGCCUUUGAUAAAAUCUGAAAUUAGGUUU